AGCCACACUAUUCCUUCCACUGAGCUCUCGGGCACCUGGCUUGUGUUGCUAUCAUCUGUUGCCAUAUUUUACUGAAAUUUUUUGUUCAUAUGUCAGUGUCUUUCAUUAGGUUGUGAGAUCUGCAAUAGCAUAGCUAUUAUCUUGCCCAUUUGGAGGGUCUUAUCUUUUUUUGUGCCUUUUACCAUGCCCAGAACAGCUAUUAGAAAACAGCAACCACUCAGUAAAUAUUUGUUGGAUGAUGGGUAGUGAGUGGAUAUGAGUUAAGAAGCAGGAAGAUACAAAACAGCUGUAGGUACCAUUGAGAUUAAAUUAUAAAUUUCAGUAGAAGAAUUUGGAGAAAUACUUUCAGAAAAAGUUGAGGCAAAAUAAUGGGAAGCUAUAAAUGCUAAUCCAAAGUCUUCGUACUUAAGUCAGGAGGCACAAGUGACAUUUAUUCUUUCUUUUUAGGAGGGUUGACCUUCUUAAUGGGUUGGAGGAAGGGUCAUUGAAAUUGUCCAGGAUUGCCGGGCGCAAUGGUCCGUGCCUAUAGUCCUAGCUACUCAGAGACUGAGGUGGGAGGAUGGCUUCAGCCCAGGGGUUCUGGGCUGUAGUGUGCUACGCUGAUUGGGUGUCUGCACUAAGUUCAGCAUUAAUAUGGUCACCUCCCGGGAACAGGGAACCACCAGGUUGCCUAGGUGGGGUGAACCAGCCCAGGUCAGAAAUGGAGCAGGUAAAAACUCCCAUGAUGAUCAGUUGUGGGAUUGCAUCUAUAAAUAGCCAAUGCACUCCAGCCUGGGCAACAUAAUGAGACCUUGUCUCUAAAAAAAAAAUAAAAGAAAAAGAAAUUGUCCAGGAUGUAAGUGCUGGGAACAUGGGAUACAGUGAGGACCAUGGAAAUGGAAAGGAAAGGAACGGUGUUGAGGCUUUGCCCAGCUAAACCCCCUUCUCCCUCAUGACAAUGAAGGGUGACUUGUCUGGGGAUCUGCUAAAAGGGCGAUAGUGCAGGGAGGUAGACAAAGCAUAAUCUAUUUGGUAAAGCCACAUUUCAAAUGCUAGCAACAUCAAAUGCAAUUACUAAGACCAAAGGACCAGAGGCAGAAUUACAGUUAAGGCUGAAGAGCCGAUAAUUUGGAGCCCACUAGAUAAAAAGUCAAAGUUAAGCAAGGACUUAACCAGUACAGAGGAUUUUUGGUAUUAGUUUCCUGUCAUAAAUUAUCUCAAGUACAGAGGCUUGAAACAAGACAAAUACAAAUGUAUUAUAUUACAGUUCUGUAGGUUAGAAAUCUAGCAUGGGUCUCACUGGGCUAAUAUCAGGAUGUCAGCCAGGCUCAGUUUCUUUAGGAUGGCUCUAGUGACACUGUUUCUGUGCCUCUCUGCCAGCUUCUAGAGGUCAUCCACCCUUUUUUGCUUGUAGAUUCCCCCGCUUUCUUCAAAGCCAGGAUCAUUAGGCUAAAUCCUUCUCAUGCUGCCAUUUAUCUGUUCUCCCUUUUCGCCUCUCUCUUCCACUUUUAAGGACGGUUCUCAUUACGUUGAGUCCCCUGGAUAAUCCAGGAUAACCUCUCUACUUUAAAGCUAGCUGAUUUACAACAUUAAUUCCAUCUGCAGUCUUAAUUCUCCUUUGUCAGGUAAUAUAAUCUAUCCAUAGACUUUAAGAAUUAGCACAUGG
rnacentral:lncRNA from 1 species